rnacentral:rRNA from 1 species
CUGCCUGCAACUCGACUCCAUGAAGUCGGAAUCGCUAGUAAUCGUGGAUCAGAAUGCCACGGUGAAUACGUUCCCGGGCCUUGUACACACCGCCCGUCACACCAUGGGAGUGGGUUGCAAAAGAAGUAGGUAGCUUAACCUUCGGGAGGGCGCUUACCACUUUGUGAUUCAUGACUGGGGUGAAGUCGUAACAAGGUAACCGUAGGGGAACCUGCGGUUGGAUCACCUCCUUA